UACGGAGGGUGCAAGCGUUAUCCGGAUUCACUGGGUUUAAAGGGUGCGUAGGUGGGUCGGUAAGUCAGUGGUGAAAUCUCCGAGCUUAACUUGGAAACUGCCAUUGAUACUAUCGAUCUUGAAUACUGUGGAGGUCAGCGGAAUAUGUCAUGUAGCGGUGAAAUGCUUAGAUAUGACAUGGAACACCAAUUGCGAAGGCAGCUGGCUACACAAAUAUUGACACUGAGGCACGAAAGCGUGGGGAUCAAACAGG
rnacentral:rRNA from 1 species